rnacentral:tRNA from 1 species
GUAAGUAUAGUUUAAAAAAAACAUUACAUUGUGACUCAAACAACAGAAGGCUCAUACCUUCUAAUUAACU